ACCUAGUAGUACGGAAUAAUUGUUGGAAACGGCAACUAAUACCGUAUACGCCCUACGGGGGAAAAAUUUAUUGCUAUUAGAUGAGCCUAUAUUAGAUUAGCUAGUUGGUGGAGUAAUAGCCUACCAAGGCAAUGAUCUAUAGCUGAUCUGAGAGGAUGAUCAGCCACACUGGAACUGAGAUACGGUCCAGACUCCUACGGGAGGCAGCAGUGGGGAAUAUUGGACAAUGGGCGAAAGCCUGAUCCAGCCAUGCCGCAUGAGUGAAGAAGGCCUUUGGGUUGUAAAGCUCUUUUAGUGAGGAAGAUAAUGACGGUACUCACAGAAGAAGUCCUGGCUAACUCCGUGCCAGCAGCCGCGGUAAUACGGAGAGGGCUAGCGUUAUUCGGAAUUAUUGGGCGUAAAGGGCGCGUAGGCUGGUUAGUAAGUUAAAAGUGAAAUCCCGAGGCUUAACCUUGGAACUGCUUUUAAAACUGCUAACCUAGAGAUUGAAAGAGGAUAGAGGAAUUCCUAGUGUAGAGGUGGAAUUCGUAAAUAUUAGGAGGAACACCAGUGGCGAAGGCGUCUGUCUGGUUCAAAUCUGACGCUGAGGCGCGAAGGCGUGGGGAGCAAACAGGAUUAGAUACCCUGGUAGUCCACGCUGUAAACGAUGAAUGUUAAAUAUGGGAAGUUUACUUUCUGUAUUACAGCUAACGCGUUAAACAUUCCGCCUGGGGACUACGGUCGCAAGAUUAAAACUCAAAGGAAUUGACGGGGACCCGCACAAGCGGUGGAGCAUGUGGUUUAAUUCGAUGCAACGCGAAAAACCUUACCACU
rnacentral:rRNA from 1 species